UUUGAACAUCAAAACAUGGGCUCAGAUAUGAAGAUAUUGCAAAGAAUUGCAUUACACUGAAAAUAGUUUUCCAGAUUGAAAAAAUAGACCCCUUUUAGUACAAAUCAUAUGAAGCCUACUAUACAGAAGCUAAAAGGAAAAAAAGAAUAUGUCACAAAACCAAUCCGCUCUUCAUUGUUAAGCAGAAAGUUGCUACAAGCAGAAAUACAAGGUAUGAUUCAUCGUAAGCUCUGGAAGGCCCAUAUCCGAUAACCAGAUUUAAACAUGAGCUCUGGAAGGUCCAGAUCGAAAUAGUUAGUCAAAUUGUGUUCUAACCUCGCUGCCCAGUGACUGGAUACUCUCAAAACCCAAAGCUAAAAUGCAUUAAUGGAUGCUCUAAAUUAUUGAGUACCAUCAGAUUGAAUCAUUGAAUAUUUAUGGUUUUGCUGCUGCCGGUUGAAAGGGAAUUUCGAUCUCCAAGUGUUUUGAUGUUAAUGGAUCUUUCACUGGUGCCAUCUUCAGAUAGAUUAAAACCAUCAGGCUUCAGCCGUCUGUUUUCAGUGCAAUUGAGUUCAUCCACUUUCCAAGCCUUCUAAAGUUUUUAGCCCACGAGUUGGCUAAAUUUGUUGUUGGUGUUGGCGAUCACCAACCAGCGUUUUUGUCUGUUAAUUUAUCGAGUUUGUAAUUGAUUUAGUUUCAGACAAUUUGCACUGGUCAUCUACUUAAUGGAAUACCAACGUUCCAUUAAAAUAUAUAAAUUUGUGUCAUGCUUCCAGAGGAUCACUAAGCAGAACUGACCAAACAAGGCAGAGGCACUUCAGUUGACAAACAUAUGAAAUGCUACACGUAAUAGAGGCCUUUCAUCUUCAGAGAGGCCAGAAUAAAAAUCUCUCUUGGAGAUCCCUUUCAAGUCCAACAUAUACUACUGACAUACUAAUUGGUUAUUUGCAUUCAUAAAUCAUGUGUAUUUUCUUCUUGCGCUUUUAACAUAAAAUCAGAUUAUUUGUUUAUCAGAAAACUGAUGCAAUACUUGCGUUCAGCAUUGCCAAUUGGAUACCAAAAGACAAUACAUUUUGAACGCCCAAACAUAGACUCAGAUAUGGAGACAUUGCAAAGAAUUGCAUUAUACUGAAAAAAAGUUUUCCAGAUUGAGAAGAACGGACGAAUUUUUUUUGACCACUUUUAAUACCAAUCAUAAGAAACCUACUACAGAAGCUAAAGGAAAAAGAAUAUGUCACAAAAACCAAUCCGCUCUUCAUUGUUAAGCAGAAAGUUGCUACAAGCAGAAAUACAAGGUAUGAUUCAUCGUAAGCUUCUCCCUUGCUGACUCUUCCAUCGAGAGAAAAAAAGAGGUCUCAAAUCACAAUAAGUGAUGGACCAGAUUUUUCCACAGGUCUUCUGAUUCAACUUCCCGACGUGCUUGCAAAAUACCUGAAAUCUUGCAUAGAGAAAUUGCAAACAAGUGUUCAUGUGCAAACAAUUAUUAAAAUCCACAUAAACUUCGGGUAGAGAGACACUUCCCACAAACUUAUCAAAGUAGCAAGCUAACAAUUGAGCACAAGCUUAAAUAACAGCAUUCAUUCAUUGCCAGUAGGGAAUGGAGAGUUAUGAGAUGGAUUCUAUUGUAUCAGAGUGUGGAUCACCAAUUACAGCUAUAUAAGUUUUUUUAACACCAACUCACUAGGUUGUUUGACUUCAUUGACAUGAACAAAAGAAAACAAGAGUAGCCAACAAUUUUAUUCCCUCAAUUUACCUUCCAAGAGCAGGUACUUAGUGAGUUACCUCGUCAUGAUCCGGAAUUACUCUCAUCACACAGUACUAGUCUUGACUGGCCAGCGCCCAAAGUAUUUCCUAUCUAAUUUAUAUUUGUGGAAAGCUUAUCUGGAGCUCGGCAAGGUAGUGCAAAGAAUGAGCAAAUCUGAAAUCUAGAUUGUAAAGCUAAAUAAGAGUUCAACUCCAGUACAAAGAAGUUUUCAUAUUCCAGUCAUAGGAAAAAAUAGUGUGCAGGGGAUGGGGGAGAGAACGGACUCACGCCAAAGAAACAAUUGAGAGACCUAUGCAAUGUAAGGUGAUCCCAGGACACAAAAGAUGUUCCUGUUAUCGAUAUUGCAUAGGUAGUAGUUUGUUUAGCCCCUGGACAUGAAUAUAGAAGCGCUGAUGACUAUUUCCUCCUGCUUGAGUAUGAACCCUCAAUCUUUUGAAUGGUCGUGCCCCUCUCUUUUCAUUUUUUUUUCCAUUUUUUUUUCCAUUUGUGUGUGAGAGAGGCAUCAACACUGAUGGUUAUAGCUCUUCAUGAUGGUAGAAUUUGCAGGAUUGAUGUCAAUGACAAUAAAGCAAUUUUGAAUCUUCUCGAGGUCUGACAAGUGUUCUUAAGGCAUAAUCAACUACUAUGGAAUAGCGAGAGAUGCACUAUAUAGGUAGGUAUGGUGUGAACACAUGGAAGAACUGGUUUAAUUUCUGGUAUUGGGAUAUUUCCACUGGCGGAUUAUGCAAUAUUCCGAUGGAGGAAUGCAAUGCCGAGUGUCAAAGAGGCUAGCAAAAAUUAAGUUACACAAAAAGAAUGACUGGCUUUGAAAGACUUCAGACUAGAGGAACAUCAAACUUAACAAUACGCACUGAAAUUCAGAUUGCAAUAAUAAAGGUUCAUGAAAUCUGCUCUCAUUAUGGCAUUGGUGGGACAGAAAAAAUAUUCCGGAUCAAUUAGAGAAUAAAAUCAGCUUCACCAUACUUAACUUGGGUGCUUUAUGAAUAAAAAUUAGCAAGCUCAUGCCUUUUUGCUCAAUCAAUGUUCACCACUCACCUAACAAGUUAUCUCUACCUUUUUUGUAUCAACUGAAAACUCUCUUAUGACAUUUAGUUGAUUGUGUGGCAAUGAAUUCACAUGUUAUAAGCAUGCUCAAAAGCUAGACUACCAACUAAUCAAGAAAGUAGGAAGUUCUCUAACCAAGGUCUCAUGAGGCAAUAAGAGUUUGAGAAUUGCACAGUGAGCACAAUCCGGCACAACUCCUGCAGAACAAAGAAAAAAAAUGUUAAGUACAUCAUAAAUGUCUCUCCUACAUUUUUCCCUCAAAAAACGUCAUAAAUGUUGUCCAGGGAGGAAUACAAAUAAAUUCUGAACUGGUAUUAGCUGAGAAUCACAUUGGUUUUCUUGAUAUUUCUUAAUUCAGUAGGGAUUUUUUUUUUGCUGGACUGAACUAAAAAAACAUCUACAUAUUGGUAAUUUGGUAUGGUAUAGCUGGAUUACAGUUACAUUUGCAAAUACUUACCAGAUUUACAGAUUUAUCCGUAGGAUGAAGAUACCACAGAAAACCCUCAUGUGCCAACUGUGUAUGGAUGGAGAGAAGUGGCUAAAAGAACGUACAACUCCCAGACAGAGCCCUGCAUAAUAAAUAAAAUAAACUUUUCUCAGACUUCAUAUUAUGAGGCAGUUAUGAGGUAAACUAAACAAGAAAAUUUUGACUUGAUGCGUGAAAUUAAGGAGAAGCUAUGUUAUGAGGUACAAUAAACUUUUCUCAAACUUUGAUCUUACAUACACGUACCAUAUUUAUCAAUUUAUGCUCAGGGAGAUACCACUGAAACCUAUGUUGUGCGAGCAGUGCAUGAAUACAGAGAAUUCUUCAAGGAUGGAAGAAUGUACAGGCAACUCCAUGGCCGAGCCCUGCUGGCCACUGAAAUUAAAACACACGCUGUUCAGACUUCAGAUAAGGAAGAACAUGGGUAAUGAUGGGGGUAUCCAAACAAGGACGUCUGUGUUUGUUCAAGUUAAACUCUUAUACUCAGCAGGUCAUAACAACAUAUGAAGGGAAAAGUGCCCCAGGGCAGGAAGAUUAAUUAUGCAUAUACUAACCAGCAUCAUGUGCAGGAUGCAGGACGGAAAAUAAAAUUUGAGACUGUCAUGCUUGCCCUGCAGAACAGUUCUUGCCUUCAUGGUAUUGCACAGAGAGGAUUGUUGGAGGCUAGAAGAAUACGCCAAUCGAAGAACCCUGCACGGUAGAUGAUAACAGGUGGGUCAUUUAGUUAGAUGAAAUGAUCAACAGCAAGCGCAAUAAAUCAAACAAAACAAAACAGUAGAAUGACAGUAAGCUCAAUGGGCAUGUAGUAAGCAGUUUAUGCGCACGAUGGAAGAUACAAAUUGAAAACAUCAUGCUUCAUGCUGGCAGCCGGAAACUGUUCUUUGAUAGAGAGGGCAUUCUAGGAGGCUACAAGAAUAUACAAACAGAAGGAGAACCCUGUACAGUAGAUUAAAACAAAUGGGUUACUUAUACAGAUUAAAACAAGUGGAUAUUGACCCUUACAAAGUUAGGAAUAAAAAAAAACAGGGGAAGGAACUGGAAAUAAGUACAAAGAUUGAGGUAAUUGUUUGUUCGUUACGUACCUUGGACUGCUCAGGCUCUGAUUAUCGGAAUGGUUCCUGUUAGCUUGCGGCACUCCCUUUUGAGCUCCUCACUGUUGCCAGAACAGACAACUAACUCUUGCAUUGAACUUGGAAGGCCGUCCUUGGGCAGAGACUUGAUGGCACCACAGUAGAAGAUCUCCAACCUUUCCAGAGAACUCGGGAGAGUGUUUGGCAGCGACUUGAUGGCACCACAGGUCUGGAUUUGUAAUUCCUGCAGAGAGCUCGGAAGGCUGGGCAGCGACCGGAUGGCAGAACACCACAUGAUCCUUAAUUUCUUGAGGCUGAUAAGCUUGUGUAGCCCUGCAGGGAGGCGCUGCAGCUUUUCCCCAAACAAAAAGCAGAGCACCUGGAGGGAGGUGAGGAGCUGAAGGGCCUCCUCUUGCUCCUUUGUCAAGCGCUCCGCCUCCUUGUCCAAACUGAGUUGCAAUCUGGUGAGGGUGGAAGAGAAGAGGCUGCAGAUGGGCGCGGCAAGGAAACCUGUGUUGCUGGCCGUCGCCAGAUCAACGAGCUUGGAGGAAGAGGAAAAAACCUCAGCGUCAUGCGGCCGUGAGGGAUCGGAACCGGCGAAGAAAUCGGAGGUAGUAUAGAGGGAUAAUUGUGUGAGACGGCCGUGGGCGAGGAGAGGCCACAAGCCGUCGGAUCUGGAAUCCCCCGGUAUGUUCAAGGUUAACUCGGUGAGAGAGGUGAGGUUUGAGAGGUCCUGUAGCGUCUCCAUGUACUUCACCCUGCGUAGGGUGAGAUGUUGCAGGCAGGUUGGGAAAGGGGGGAAGGAGGAGGAGGACGAAUAGGAGGAGAGGAACUCGGGAGAAUUGUAUACAUGCAGCGAGCGGAGGGAGCGGAGACGUCGGAGACCCCCUCCUCCUCCUCCUCCUCGUGCUGCUGCUUCUGCGUGGUCAUCGGGCGGUGGAUUGGGGAGUAAGCUCACCUUUGGACAGGCUUCAAUCCACAACUCUUGUAGCCGGGGAGGCAAGAGCAGCAGUCCUUCGGCUGCAGCUGCUGUUAUUGGUUCCUCCUCUCCAACUCCUGUCUGUUGCUGCUGCUCCCCAGAAACAGUUUCGGCAUGCUCAACCACACCCAACGCAGUUAUAUUCUCACACUCGUGUAUGGUCAGCUUUGAGAGGUUUGGAAGGAAAGAGAGCAGCAGCGUCAGUUCUUUCCCACUGGUAUCAGACGUUAUGAUCUCGAGGUCUUCGACUGGAAAUUGGUAACUGCCAUGAUCCUCACCUUCAACCGGCAGCAAAACACUACUAGAAUUAGAUAUCGUGAUCACCUUCAGAGAUGUUAGCACUAGGAGGUCAUCCAGCGGCAGGGGAGGGAUUUUAUUCAUGUGCAACUCUUUUAGAUCUGUUAGAUUAGAGAAAUUCAACGCAUUCCAAAACACAUCACCCUGACCACCGUCCUUUCCCGUAAUUUGCAAGUUUAAUUUCAGCCUGUAUUUUGUUCCGUAAGCUAGCUGCUCAAUAACCGAUCCCACUCGUUCUAUGCUAACAGAGAACGGAGCAUCACCCCGCCAAGGGAUAGGAGGCAAUGACUCUAGGUUCGGGCAGUCUUCAAUGAUGAGCUCAUGUAGUUUAGGAAACAAAGCCAUUUUCUCCUCCCACUCCCCCGCUUGGCAGCCAGUAGGUUGAGAAAACGGCAACUCCAUGAGUUUAGAGCAAUCUUUAAUGAUGAGCACUUCCAAGUGAGAAAAAAAAGGACAAGUGUCAUUUCCGACCCAUUUUGCCAAAAUAGAUAUUCCCUUUAAUUCAAGUUUUUUCAAAUUAUGGAAGCUUGGAGGUGAGAUACUGCUACAAUCCUGGUACUCUUCACCGGGCUCAGUAACCAUCCACAACUCUCCUACAAGUGGAAGAUUCUUCCAAGAUACACCAUCGAGACAAAGAGAUUCCAGAUUUUUAACCGAGAGAUUAGCACAUAGCCAUGUCGGGCAAUUUGUGCCCCCAUGCCCUUUAAUGCAUAGCUCCUGAAGAUCGCAAUGUGGCACAAGGCUUGCGAGAACAUUCUCUUCUUGGACAGGAUCCCUAUUAGAUUGCAUAGCAUCCCAUUCUAAUAUGAGUUCUCUUACGUGGUUCUUGUGGAUCAGUUUUAAGUCGUUUGCUUCCUCUUUUGUUUGUACCUUCUCAAUAUUAUAAAUGUGAAGUGAUCCUCCAAUCUCUCUCAAUGGCCCGAGCUGACUCGGCUCAAAACCCUUACUCUCCUUUCCCACUCUAAAUUCCUUUAGUUCCUGUAAGAAUUUUAGUUUCCCCACCCCAUAAAUGUCAGAAUGAUAUUUAAAUCUAUUUUUCGACACAAGAAAAUGACGCAAUUUUACAAGGUUGCCCAAAUGUCUAUUUGUGCUUAAGCAAUAAUACACAUCUUUUAGAUCAAUGACCUCUAAGUGAUACAAUCUAAACAAAGAACUUGGCAGGCACAAUUUCCCGUAAUUCUUUGACUUUAUUCUUAGGUAGCGAAGAUGGACGAGUUUUGAAAAGUUGUGCAAUAUAUCCUCCACAUUAUAUGCCGCUUUGUUAAAAAAUAUGACGCGAAGGGCUCUAGCUUCCAAAAACAAAUCACCAAACGUUUUUGCAAAGCUUCCAUUGUAAUCACCAAAUAACAUUAAUGUAUGUAGGUUUUCAACAUUUAAACAUUUAGUUAGUGCAGUCAAAUUCCCAUCAUAGUCUUCAAAAGACAUUUUAUUCUUGACAUCCGUGUUAUCUACGAUGAUUGACAAGUGACGUACGGUCGGGGGGAUUUGUAUGCCCCUCGCGUUCGAACUAUAGAUGCUGAUACACUCAUGCGAUGAAACAUUUACAGCCAACUCGUGCAGUAGGUCAUGGAUGACAUAAUAAGGACGUCCAUCUUCCUUUUUAUUCAUUUUGAAAAAUCCAUGAUUUACCAAUUCAUUUAAAUAGCAAAGUCCAACAUCUUCAAUUCUUUUUCUCUUCUGAUCAUAUGAACGUAAAAUAUCUAUUCCAAUCCACAAGUGAACCAACUCUUCGCUACCAAAUUCAUAAUCUUCAGGAAACAAAGAACAAAAAGAAAAACACUUUUGCAGAUGGAAAGGAAGAUAAUCAUAGCUAAGCUUCAAAGCAGGCAUAAUAUCAUCGUCGCUGGUUUGUGAUUCCCAUUCUUUACUUUCUAGAACGCUUCUCCAGUGGUUCAGUGUAAGUUUGUUUCUUAGUAAUCUACCAACAGUUUUUGCUGCAAGAGGAGAACCCUUCAAUUUGUCUACUAUUUUGCUCCCAACAUCAGAUAAUUUUGGAUGAUCAGCCCAUGGUUUUUGGUCACCAAAUACGCAUUCUUCGAAGAAUGACUUGAUAUCUUUAGGACAUAGAUGCUCCAGUUCUACUAAGCAUUUAGUUGUCUUAACGGUGUUUGCCACGCCGGGUAUUCGAGUCGUGACUAUAACCAUGUUACCUUUUGCUCCAUCUUGUUUAAAGAGAGCUAACAGUUUUUUCCAUUCAUUCUCAUGAUGUUGCCACACAUCAUCUAAGACAAGUAAAACCCUCUUUCCUUUUAAUCUUUGUUCGAUAAGCUCUUCGUCACUACAAUUUUUGUUUUCAUUGUUAACUUCGGGGAUUUUUUUCAAAAUAUCUUUUGCCAACCUAUUUGCAUCAAAAUCCAGAGAGACACAUAUCCAAAUGGGGACAUGGAAAUGGCUCUUCAUUUGUUCAUAUAUGUGUUUUGUGAAAGUUGUCUUCCCAAUACCGCCCGGGCCAACAAUGGGAAGCACGGUAAGUUCACAACAUUCACCCUUAACAAUUUCAUCUAUAACAAUAUCUUUCUGGUGUUCCCUCCCAUAUAACUUUGGUUCUAUAAUUUGUGGGCUGGUUUUGGGUCUGUCCACACCAAUGCCUUUGUUAGGGGUUUGGCUAGAGUUCAUUAUCUCUAGAUUAAGAAUGUUGAAUACCUGAGCACAUACUGGCUUCAGCUGCUCCGUGAUUUCCAAUAUCUUUCUAGACAUUUCCACCCUAUGAAACUUCAAUUUUGGUAUUUUUGUCUCGUGAUUUGUCUGUUUUAUCUUGGACGGCCCAGCACAAGCAAAUCGGAAACGGUGUUUAUUUCCAUUCGUGUUGGAAUUGCUCACCAUGCCGGUUUGUGCAUCAUGAUCGACAGAUGGUAAUAAGGAGCAGCAAGGUAAGUAUUUACCGACAUUGUGGGCAGCCUUAGGCAUGCAUCCACCGUUAACUUCCUGGACACCCAGCUGGUUGGCGGGUGGCGGUGAGGAGGAGCUGAUCUCACGCCGGCCACACGAGCGGAGCCCUGAGAGGCAUCCUUGUUUGCCACCGUCGUGUUGCUCGUCAGGAACGGCACGCCUGGCAGUAGGCGAGCACACAGGAAACUUGAGCUUGUUCACACAAGAUCUGGCCGUGUGGCGAACGUUGAGGGCGAGGUCUUGGACACAGCCUGCAGCAUGAGCGUCGGCGGCAUGAUAGGUGCCGUCGAGCUCAUCCUGGAUUCGGAAGUAAUCGAGCUCAUCCAGCACGUCCUCAGCCCCGUACGCAAGCUGCCGCAACUUGUCUAGCAUCUCACCAAGGGCAGGGUUAUGGAUCUCCCUGCCUCGGACGUUGUUCAGCAUCGCCUGUGCGUACAGCAGCUGCAUCUUCAGGGCCUCCAUGUUGGAUCCGAGCAUGGAGCUGGCACCCCAUGCCUCCAGCACGCCACCGGACAGCGGGCUCAGCGCCUUGCCCACCACCCAGCUCGCAGCAGGGAGGCCGACCGUCUCCAUCGAUCGUUUAGAUAUCAAUCUGUUAGCCUGUGUGGUCCUGCCUGCAUAUGAUCAAUCAGAAGUCAAGGUUAAGCUGAAGACACUGGAAGAGCCAGACCGGAGACGAGUACUCCUAGUUUGGUAUCAGGUGAAUGCGCGCUGCCUGCAAGACAGCUUAAAGAGGGGAGGGAAAACAAGAUAUGUACGUACCACCCGGCCGUACUGCUGCCACCGGGUGCCCGGAUGGCAAAGCUGCAACUGUCAGUGAUCACCAGUAGUCCUGAUUAUUGGCUGCUACUGUACUGCCAGAGGAGAAUUAGCUGAAGGAAGGUGAAGGCAAAGUGUGGAGGAGAUGCAACGGAGGAAUGCCGGAGCAGGUCAGGUGCAAAGAGGCGGGACGUGUGAACUGUGGUCUGUGGAAUAGUUCGUGCGCGCAUAUAUAGAGAAGAGAGCGGGCAGCUUCAAGUCAAGUCACCUCAACGGAUGGGAUCAAUCAAACUAAAAUAAUCCCUGCCAGCUACGCACUCGGUGGUGCGAAAUUAAAACAGAGACCUGGCUUCAGAUCUGGCAUCGGGUCUCGUUGUUGUAGUGUCUCUGGGAUGGAAUCGAGUCGUUGGGGUUUGGAGACGCAGACUCCACGACUGGGGACUGCACGCGAAAUACUAGAAUACUCCCUCGUGCCACAGCCCUGCCUGCCUCGUGCACGCGUCUGACUCCAGUGGCCAUUCGGGAGUCUGCCAGGCAGCUGCUUGUGUUCCUUGCAAGUGAUGAUCUGAACGGAAAGAGGGAGAAAUCCGGAACCUUAAACUGACUGAAAUCUCGAAUUAAUUCAAGAAAAGGGGCAGGGUGUUCGUCAGAAAAAGAAAAUGGAGAUGCGAGCAGCAGCUGCAGGGCAAUGUCAUGCCCCCAACGGAUUCUCGUGUCAAGUGCUCCAUCUGAUCUCGCGCUGGUCUGGCCGGUGGCAACGGGCGGGAGGAAUUAAACUAAUCACGGUACCGAUGCACUUGCAGAGAAAACAAGACAUGGCUUCAGAUCUCGCGUCAAGUGCUUUAGUUUAAUUCAACGGGCGCUCGGGCACAAUAGCUUAGGCAGAGGGGGAAGCACAUGGUACUUUUGCGCAUAAAACUGUUUUUGCGCGCUAGAUUAAUGAAUAGAGGUGGUCGUAUAUUUGGUUAUGGAUGUGUUUUAGACCAGGAUUUGGGUUGCCAAAUUUUUAUGUAAUGGUUUGUUUUUAUAAAAAUGUUACUAGGCCAGAAAGGUGGGCGAGCUAGACAUGAAAGACGAAGGCCAAGUGUGGACAGAACCAAACGAUUCCCUUGCUGCAGCGGCGCAUCCGCAUCUUACGCUAAAUUAAGAACAAAAAAGUAAGGUUUCAAAUCUCACGCUCGAGUACUGAUAUACAUCAUUUCAGUAUUGGAGUACUCCGCUCCACUUUCCAGCCUAGCAUGUGGGCGGAGACUUAGUAGCGUUAACCAAAAAGCCGAUGAAACGAGCGGGCGACGCUCAUGUCGAAACCAGAUCGACGCGCGUGCGGUUGCGCGGAAGAAUCGAGGAACGAGGUGGGUGGGUGCCCCUGCUGCCUGGCAUCGGGCCGGGUAAAUCAAACGACGCGCGCAGGAGCGCUUCCUCUGCUUUUCCCGGUGGCGUCGAGGAAUCCACGGGCGCUGGCGCGACGCACGAGCCACUGCGCGCCCUAUGCGUUUGCACUUUGCAGCGACCGAGCACCCACGGGCUUAAUUUAGUUUACUCUUCCCCGGGUGCUUAAGUUACUGCGCUGUGCGCUCUUGGCUUGGCAGCCUGCAUGGGCUCGGAUAGUAGAAUACUGUCACUCACGAGUUACUUUUGUCGUUUCUUGCGGCCAGCCCAAGGCCUAGCCCAAGUUUACUAAUGGCAGUACAGAUCGGACUGAUCGAGAUGAACUUGCAAAGACCUCCCCCAACGCAGCAGCUCUAAAAUAAGAUGUGAAAUGCUUGAGGUGGUCGAGAUGAAUGCUCCAAAAUGCUUCACUUUUAUGUGAACCAUUGCAAGUCAAGCACACAUACUGACCCACUAAUUCGACGUUCCUACAUGGUCUACAUUCAAUUUCACCUCAACAUGGUCAGUCAAGUUCAAGGUUCCGUAGCGCUGUAGCAAGUACUCCAGUACCAUAAUUGUGUGUGUAGCGGCGACCAAUAGCGAAAUGUCUUUAGGACAUGGCUGAUUGGACGUGCAUACAACACACCCUUUGCUAUGUUCAUCUGUGUCAUCAUCAUCGCGUGGAACUUUACAUGGAAAAAAUCUGAGCCCUUCUUAUCUUACUCUUAUACAGAAAAAUAAGCACUGAUCAAAGCCAACAUGGCAGCAGCAAGCUGCACACUGUCGUACCUGGAGCGGCUUGCUCGAGCGUUCUUUGUGCAUCGGCAUGCCAACACCAUGUGACAAACAAGAUUUGACAGAGAUUUGCCCAAGGGGCUAACGACGGUCCAGGUAAUUGGUAACGUUAAGCCUACGAUUUUCUGGGAUCUCAUGUCCCCCUAUGCGAGCGCUGCUAUUUCUGCUGAUGAAACGUGGGGUGUCCGAACUGCUAGCAUUCCAUUCCUCUUCGCGUGCAGAUACGCGAGCGUUGCUACUUCCUCAGUCCUGGCGCCUUCAGGCAUAAACAAAACGACAAAAGAGAACAAACGUCUCUGGGUUCAAGGGAUUGCCCGGGGAGAGAUGCGCAUACGGAGUGGGCCGACCGCGAUCUCCGGCGAAACUUUCGCGGGCCGCCUUGUGAUUCCGAAAAUUCUGAACCCUUCCUUUCCUACUGAAGUGAAACUUCGUCACUUGGUUGAGGGCCUACCAGAAGGAGCAUGCCGCUGGACGCGGUGGACAGAGUAGGCGCGGCGGCGCAGCGCAGGAACAGCUUACGGACGACCGGGAACGCCCGCGCCACCAUCUCGUCGUUGGCAACACAGGUCACAGGUCGGUCAACGACAUCUCGCACACCCUCCUCACCUUCAACGCAAAGCAAACACAGGUCGGUCAGGGACCAAAACAACUCAAAGUCCGAACUCCUAAUAACUCUGUCACAUUUGAUUUCGUUAAUUAAUGAAAUCGGGAGCUUGUUCUUCAUUCUAAAACAAGGACCAAAACAAUCCGAUUCAAACCGACGUGGCCGGCUCAGGGGAAGAAUGGGGGAAUUGGAGGGAGAUGCGCUUACGGACUGGAGGAGUUUGGGGUCGGAGGCGGGAUCGGCGGCGGCGGCGGAGUCCCGGGAUGCGGCGGAGAGCGAGCGGAGGUGGAAGUCGUAGCUGCCGUCGCCGGCGGCGAGCUUCGGCGAGGCCAUGGCCGUCGUCGUCGUGUUUGCCUCUGGCUACUGCUGGGUGGGAGAUGGAGAAGCUUUGGACUUUGACCCCUAAGAUUUUAAUUUCUUAAACCCAAUAAGAGCCCAAAUAGUCUAGCCUUACAAAUCUGGCUAUGCAGGGCCCAUAUCAGAAAACCAAAUCUGAGCUCCGUAAGGCCCAGCUCCAAAUAGUUAGUCAAACUGUGUUCUAACCUCGCUGCCCAGUGACUGGAUACUGUUACGUGUUUUUUUUUUGAUCGGGAGAUACCGUUACGUGUUGGUACGGAGUAUAAAGCUAAAACCAAAGCUAAAUAUACUUAAACUUAAACGGAUGCUCUAAAUUUAUUGAGUGAUAUCAGAUCAAAUCAUCGAAAACUUAUGAUUUUGCUGCUGCUGGUGCCAUCUUCAGAGAAAUCAAAACCAUCAGCAUUCAGUGCGAGUGAGUUCAUCCACUUUCCAAGUCUUCCAAUAUUUUAGCCCACAAGUUAGCUAUAAAUUUGCUGUUGGUACUGGCAAUAACCAGCCUUUUUGUCUGUUAAUUUCAUAGAGUUUGUAAUUGAUUUAGUGUCAGCCAAUUUGCACCGUCCAUCUACUUAAUGGUAUACCAACGUUCCAUUAAAAAAAUAUAAAUUUGUGAUGAUGCUUCCGAGAGGAUUACAAAGCAGAACUGACCAAAAAAGGCAGAAGCACUUCAUCAGGUGACAAACAUAAAUGCUACACGUGAUAGAGAUCAAAGCUACAACUCUCUCCUUCCAUCUUCAGAGAGGCCUGAACACAAAUCUCUUUUGGAAAUGCAUUUCAAGUCAUUUUGAACAUCAAAACAUGGGCUCAGAUAUGAAGAUAUUGCAAAGAAUUACAUUACAAUGAAAAUAGUUUUCCAGAUUGAAAAAAUAGACCCCUUUUAGUACCAAUCAUAUGAAACCUACUAUACAGAAGCUAAAAGGAAAAAAAAAGAAUAUGUCAAAAACCAAUCCGCUCUUCAUUGUUAAGCAGAAAGUUGCUACAAGCAGAAAUACAAGGUAUGAUUCAUCGCAAGCUUCUCCCUCGCCGACUCUUCCAUCGAGAAAAAAAAAGACGUGUCAAAUCACAAUGAUGGACCAGAUUUUUCCACAGGUCUUCUGAUUCAACUUAACCACGUGCUUGCAAAAUACCUGAAAUCUUGCAUAGAGAGAUUGCAAACAAGUGUUCAUGUGCAAACAAUUAUUAAAGUCC
rnacentral:lncRNA from 1 species